AUCCUUUUGUCAUUUAUAAGUGUGAUGAUUGGGCAUUCACACGUGUGAGAUGUGCCUCCCUCAAACCUUGUUAUGACAUCGGCACUUUACCCAUGAAAAA
rnacentral:snoRNA from 10 species